rnacentral:lncRNA from 1 species
GUUGGGGCAAGUAUGGACACAACAUUUAAACUGGAUUCAGCUCUAAAUUUGGAUUGUGAUUAAAUAGUUGACACAGAAUGAAUGUGGUCUAAUGAAUUUAAAAUAUUUUUUUUGCCUUUGAGCAAUUCACUAUGCUGUUGAAUAUUAAUCCUCUCAAAAAAAUGUUUGAAGAAAUUUUCUUUUUAUUUAUGAAAUCUGAAAUGAGAA